CGACUCGGUGGCAUCGCUCUCCUCUGCUGUCACCUCCCCCAGGUGCCCGUUGUCACUGGGGACGGCCGGAGGAGAGGGCCCCGAGGGGGCACGGCUGGGUUCUUCGGUGCUGAAGUCGAUGAGGUUCCCAACGGGCACAUCUGGGGGGGCCUCCAUGGCUCUGCGGGGGGUGCGGCGCUCUGCUGGCUGCUCCUCUGCCCGUCCCUCACUGCACCAUCAGGAACCGGGGAGGAGGGGAUGGCUAGGGCAGGUGGGGCCGUGCGCCGGGGAGCAGGCUGUCAUGGGGCAUCUGCACCCAGCGGCCGCCACGUCGCUUCGCUCGGGGCUCG
rnacentral:lncRNA from 1 species